UCUGACACACAAGACAAAAGAAAAAUCAGUA
rnacentral:piRNA from 1 species